rnacentral:lncRNA from 10 species
CACAGCGUGUCAUUCAUGGGAACAAGACGGGGUGGAGAGGGGAGGCCACCUCAAAGACACAUUCCUCCCUGGUCCUGAUGUCCUCCCUCUACAUGCAGAGCUUCACUGAUUCCACCUGGAGCUCACAGUCACUUUGGGGAGGGGUGUUGCUGGCAUAAGGCUCCUCUCCUGUCUCACAGAUGGGAACACUGAGGCUCAUGGUGACUUGCCCAAGACCACAGAGCUGAGAUUCAGCAGAGCCAGGCCUUGUGGCUCAGAAGCAACUGAGGCCCAGAGGAGCAAAGGCCCCCAAGCAAGGUCUCCAGCAGGCUGGGAGCACGGUGGAAAUGGAGCCCGCUCCCCUGUCUUCCACUGCCUGUUUAAGAGAAGAGCAGCCGCGAGGCCCUGGGCUGGUCUCGGGGGUGAGCUCUGCUGUGGAUACCCGCCAUGGCUUGUCUUCCCCGCCCACAGAUAAAUGCAACCUUUCUCUUCUACGCUCUCCCUGGGCGGCUGCGUUUGUACCCCUCUCUCUAUUCUCUGCCCUCCCACUUCACUGCCUGCUUCAACAUUUGUUCCUUCAUGCAUUCAUUCAUUCAGCUGUUUAUGGGUGUCUCCUUGUGCCAGGCUCUGUGCUGGGCAGAGACUGGGUCUCUGCACACUCUAGAAAAGGGACAGAAGCUUCACCUGGUUAACCCCCCCUAUGUAGAAUGACAGGCUGUGAUUUGUGGUGUGAAGAAAAGGGACAGGGUGCGAGGAAAGGGUGUGACCAAGUCCUGGCCCCAGGCCAGGGAGCCAGGGGACUCUUGUAGGAAGCUUCUUGCAGGAAGCGACAUUAUUCUAACCCCUUCCUUCACACCAUCAGCUCCCCUGAGACAGGAGCCUCAGCAUCCAGCACUCUGCUGUCUGCAGAGAGCACAGAAGGUGCACAGUGAGCGCUCUGCCCAGCUUGGGGGGCGGUUUGGGGAGUGGAAAUGGCUUACUUUCUGGCCUGUGAUGGUCUUGCUGCAUGAAACAUGGGGCGACUUCGGUUCUUUAACCUCCUUGGGCCUCAGUUUCUACAUUUGAAUACUGAGGAUGUAA